rnacentral:tRNA from 1 species
AAGGGAGACCUAAUUCCGGUAGGAGACGAAAAAAAAGUAGUCCCUACCAAGAAUCAAUCCCAAAAGGUCGAAGCGAGGCAAGAUUGGCUUUCAAACUAGGUUCUGGGUUCAAACAAGACCUGAAUCAGGAACAAGGGCUAUUAGCUCAGGUGGUUAGAGCGCACCCCUGAUAAGGGUGAGGUCCCUGGUUCGAGUCCAGGAUGGCCCACCUGUACAGGUGGCAAAAAGAAAGAAAAGAAGCGAGGAAUCAGCACCUUAUCUUACUGACAUAGUAAGAGAGAAUGCUGGCUCUGAGUAAAGAGUCCAGAGGAACCUUGAAAACUGCAUAGAGCUAGGUGAAAAAGCCAAAAAAGAAGACCGCAA